rnacentral:rRNA from 1 species
UACGUAGGGUCCGAGCGUUAAUCGGAAUUACUGGGCGUAAAGCGUGCGCAGGCGGUUUUGUAAGCCAGAUGUGAAAGCCCCGGGCUCAACCUGGGAACUGCAUUUGGGACUGCAAGGCUGGAGUACGGCAGAGGGAGGUGGAAUUCCACGUGUAGCAGUGAAAUGCGUAGAGACGUGGAGGAACACCGAUGGCGAAGGCAGCCUCCUGGGCUAGUACUGACGCUCAUGCACGAAAGCGUGGGGAGCAAACAGG